rnacentral:tRNA from 1 species
GGCUCGUUGGUCUAGGGGUAUGAUUCUCGCUUAGGGUGCGAGAGGUCCUGGAUUCAACUCCCAGACGAGCCC